rnacentral:sRNA from 1 species
GCACCUCCUGUUAUAUAUAAUGACUUGUGAAGUUCAUCUCCUGAAUUAUGGAACGUCAUUGACAUUUUUUAUUCAACGAAGAGUUAACCACUCUUAAUAAUAAUGGGUUUUAUAGCGAAAUAGACUUUUUUAUCGCGUGUUCAAUAUUUGCGUUAGUUAUUAUUUUUUUGGAAUGUAAAUUCUCUCUAAACACAGGUGAUAUUUAUGUUGGAAUUGUGGUGUUGAUUCUAUUCUUAUAAUAUAACAAGAAAUGUUGUAACUGAUAGAUAUAUUAAAAGAUUAAAUCGGAGCGGGAAUAAAGCGUGCUAAGCAUCAUCGUGAAUAUGAUUACAGCGCCUGCGAUGGCAUAUAACCGUAUUGCGGAUGGAGCGUCACGUGAGGACUGUGAAGCACAAUGCGAUAUGUUCUGAUUAUAUGGCGAGUUUGCUUAAUGACAUGUUUUUAGCCGAACGGUGUCAAGUUUCUUAAUGUGGUUGUGAGAUUUUCUCUUUAAAUAUCAAAAUGUUGCAUGGAUGAUUUGUUGUUCUAUAGUGGCUAAACACUUUAUGGUUUCUGUUAAAUAUAUAUGCGUGAGAAAAAUUAGCAUUCAAAUCUAUAAAAGUUAGAUGACAUUGUAGAACCGGUUACCUAAAUGAGCGAUAGAGUGCUUCGGUAGUAAAAAUAUCUUUCAGGAAGUAAACACAUCAGGAGCGAUAGCGGUGAAUUAUUCGUGGUUUUGUCGAUUCGGCAUAGUGGCGAUAACUGAAUGCCGGAUCGGUACUGCAGGUGUUUAAACACACCGUAAAUAAUAAGUAGUAUUAAGGAGUUGU